rnacentral:sRNA from 1 species
AAGCCUCGGAAGUGGAAGAGAUUCUGGAUGGCAACGAUGAGAAGUACAAGGCUGUAUCCAUCAGCACAGAGCCCCCCACCUACCUCAGGGAACAGAAGGCCAAGAGGAACAGCCAGUGGGUACCCACCCUGCCCAACAGCUCCCACCACCUGGAUGCCGUGCCGUGCUCCACGACCAUCAACAGGAACCGCAUGGGCCGGGACAAGAAGAGAACCUUCCCCCUUUGGUGCGGAUGCAUCGCCGCGCUCACCCUCCGUGCUGAUUCCGCCUUAGUUCUCCAGCACGUUUCAGUUCCUUCCUCCCCAGAAAAACACUCUGUUUUGACCUUGGGCUCCCCACAGCGCCACAGUACCUCCUCCCCUUUGAACCGCUGUGUUUCCCUGACUUCCAGGACAUUGUCCGUAGCCUCCUUGGCUCUGUCUGCUGUCACCUUGCCAUGUCCUCCUCACCUCGCUGGCCCCUCAAGUGGAAUUACUCGGGGCGUGGUCCUUGGGCCCUUUCUCUGCCCUCAGUUUCACAGGAGUGGGCCACAGCCAGUGUGAUGGUUCAGAUGCCAUCCACGUGACUCCUACUGCGCCACCACUUCCCAGAGGCUGCUGGAAUAA